rnacentral:rRNA from 1 species
UACGUAGGGUGCAAGCGUUAAUCGGAAUUACUGGGCGUAAAGCGUGUGCAGGCGGUUAUAUAAGACAGAUGUGAAAUCCCCGGGCUCAACCUGGGAACUGCAUUUGUGACUGUAUAGCUAGAGUACGGCAGAGGGGGAUGGAAUUCCGCGUGUAGCAGUGAAAUGCGUAGAUAUGCGGAGGAACACCGAUGGCGAAGGCAAUCCCCUGGGCCUGUACUGACGCUCAUGCACGAAAGCGUGGGGAGCAAACAGG